UUUAAUCCCAGCACUUGGGAGGCAGAGCCAAGCAGAUCUCUGUGAUUUUGAGGCCAGCCUGGUCUACAGAGCGAGAUCCAGGACAGGCACCAAAGCUACACAGAGAAACCCUGUCUCGAAAAACCAAACCAAACCAAACAAACAAACAAAAUGGAUGCAACAGCCCGUGCUUGGGAGCAGGGCAGAGACAGGAAGCUCACGGGGGUCUGCUGUCCAGGUUGUUGAAUCAGUGAGAGACCCUGUCUCAAGGAAUAGGAUGGAGGAUGAUUGGGGAUGACACCUGGGGUUAGCCUCUGGCUUCCAUAUGCACAUCUAUGCAUGUGUACACACACGGACAUGUAUCCAUACAUACACACAGUUCGAAGUGUGUUAUUACUUCUUGAGGAUGCAGAGGAUCUGAUGUCCUUUUCUGUCCUCUGUAGGCACCAGGCUGUCAUGAGAUACCCAGACACACAUUGCAGGCAACCCCCAUGCAUCAUUGUUUUAAAGCGGUUGAAGACUGAUAAUAUAGAGUAUGCAUGCAUGCUGGAGCUAUUUAAGAAGCCUGAUGAUGGUGAUGAGGAUGAGGAGGAGGAGGAGGAGGAGUUCUUGAAUGUGUCCAACUUUCUGCAGACGACUGGUUUGGAAGAACUGAAGUCAGAGGUUACUGACUGACGCAUUGCUGUGCAAGCAACUUCCCGGCCUUGCAGAGUCUGGAGGGGGGAAUGCAGCUUCUGGAGAGCUCCACCUCCUGCUCUCCCCACUCCCGUGAGGAACGGGCUGGGUAGUCCUUCUUCCCUUGUGUCUUUUUGCUCCUGUCCCUGGAGCUGCUGUAGACGCAGAGUCAGGCUGACACACAGGCCGCUUGACUGGAAAGCUGUUGGCAGAGUGUUGAUGUCCGGCUCUCGGCUUCUGUGGAAAACCAGCGUUCAAGUGUGCGGAUGGGUUUGUAACUCACUCGACACGGAGCUGGGCUCUUCCGAGAGCUGCCUGACCCGGAGCCCCUGGACCCUGCUCUGUGAAUCAAGUUUGCCUUGGUCGGUAAGAUGCCCGUCUGUCCUCCACCCAGGAGCUUCCCACCAGGCGUCACUGGCUGCACUGCUUUGUGAUAUGUGCUUUUAAGUUACUCUCUCAAUCCCGCUCGAAAGCUGGUCCAUGCCCUGCUGGUUUGUGUAUGUGCUGAAGCAGGGGAGAGAUGAUGCCUUGCCUGUUCUCAGUAGCUGCACCCCAGCCUCCCAUCUGGAAAGUCCCACAUCUGUCAGACCUCUGCCCCCUGCUGUGGGGAUGCCUAGAUGAAAGAGACAAGCCAGCUUCUCUGGUGAGGGGAAGAGAGGAAGGGAAUGAACUGUCCUUCGGCCUGGGAGGUUUCGUUUGCACAUCUGUGGGCCAGGUCUGUUUGUACUGUUGGCAUUGUGUAUGCCCCGCAGAACUACAGAAUGGCUUGAAUGAAAUGGCAGGCAGAGACUACACGGAAUAAGAGGAUUCUCGAUUAGACAACGUCUGAGUUUCCUCAGAAGAUGUCAUCAUUUGGGUCUGUCUGUGGUGACUGAUUUUGAUGGUCAGUUUGAUGUAGAAGUGUCUAGGUCACAUCUUUGGGUUUCAUUGAGUUGGAGAGCUGGCUCCGGAUACCAUGGAGCCCACUGGAGAAAUCCAUGCUUCCUGUUCUGCUUGGUACCACUGUUGGGAUGCAGGGAGGGCAGAGGUGGAUGACCAGCUCUGUGAGAAGAGACCAAGGCAAGGGCACAGGAGGCGAGGGUGUGGUGUGCCCUGCCAAAGGGAUCCUGGGGCAGAAGGAGGAGAGGACCCAGCAGGUCUUCAGGAAUCAGAGCAGGCUGGACCUUUAGAGCCCCUGUCAGAGGCAUUUCAUGUUAUCUUUAGGAAAGAUGCUAAAGGUCGUGUGUGUGUGUGUGUGUGUGUGUGUGUGUGUGUGUGUGUGUGUGUGUGUGUGUGCGCGCGCACGCGCUCAUGUGUGCAAGUUUACAGACGUGUGUAUGCCAGAGGUCAGUCUUGCAUGCCGUUCCUCGGGUGCCAUUCACUUUGUUUUUGGAGACAGGGUCUUUCACUGGCCUGGAGACUGCCAAGUAGGUUCUGGUGGGUGAGCCUCCGAGAUCUGCUUAAGCCUGCCUCCCUAGUGCUGGGAUUACAAGCACAUGCCACCAUGCCCGGCUUUUUUUUUUUUUUUUUUUUUUAAAUGGAGGUUUGAAGGCUCAAACACAGCAACUCAUGCUUCUAAGGUGUGCUGGUUAGUUUUAUCUCAACUUGACAUAAGCCAGAGUCAUCUGAGAGGAGGGAACCCCAAAUGAGAAAAUGUCUCCAUAUGAUCCAGCUGUAGGAAAGCUUGUAGGGCAUUUUGUUAAUUAGAGAUUGAUUGCUUAAUUAAAGAUUGUUAAAACUGUA